ensembl:snRNA U5 U5 spliceosomal RNA
ACUUCUAGGUUCCUAUUCAUAAUGCACAAAUCUUUCAUCUUUUACUAAAGAUUUCCAUGGAGAGAGACGCACUCCUUGUACUGACAGCAAUCUUUCCUUGUGUACUAGCUGAUCCCU